rnacentral:rRNA from 1 species
AUUGAACGCUGGCGGCAGGCUUAACACAUGCAAGUCGAGCGGGGUGAUGGUGCUUGCACUAUCACUUAGCGGCGGACGGGUGAGUAAUGCUUAGGAAUCUGCCUAUUAGUGGGGGACAACAUCUCGAAAGGGAUGCUAAUACCGCAUACGUCCUACGGGAGAAAGCAGGGGAUCACUUGUGACCUUGCGCUAAUAGAUGAGCCUAAGUCGGAUUAGCUAGUUGGUGGGGUAAAGGCCUACCAAGGCGACGAUCUGUAGCGGGUCUGAGAGGAUGAUCCGCCACACUGGGACUGGAACACGGCCCAGACUCCUACGGGAGGCAGCAGUGGGGAAUAUUGGACAAUGGGGGGAACCCUGAUCCAGCCAUGCCGCGUGUGUGAAGAAGGCCUUAUGGUUGUAAAGCACUUUAAGCGAGGAGGAGGCUCUUUUGGUUAAUACCCAAGAUGAGUGGACGUUACUCGCAGAAUAAGCACCGGCUAACUCUGUGCCAGCCGCCGCAGUAA